UUAAAGUUGUUGCAGUUAAAAAGCUCGUAGUUGAAACUUGGGCCUGGCUGGCGGGUCCGCCUCACCGCGUGCACUCGUCCGGCCGGGCCUUCCUUCUGAAGAACCUCAUGCCCUUCACUGGGCGUGCUGGGGAAUCAGGACUUUUACUUUGAAAAAAUUAGAGUGUUCAAAGCAGGCCUUUGCCCGAAUACAUUAGCAUGGAAUAAUAGAAUAGGACGCGCGUUCCCAUUUUGUUGGUUUCUGAGACCGCCGUAAUGAUUAAUAGGGAUAGUUGGGGGCAUUAGUAUUCAGUCGCUAGAGGUGAAAUUCUUGGAUUGACUGAAGACUAACUACUGCGAAAGCAUUUGCCAAGGAUGUUUUCAUUAAUCAAGAACGAAGGUUAGGGUAUCGAAAACGAUUAGAUACCGUUGUAGUCUCUUCUGUAAACUAUGCCAAUUGGGGAUCGGUACAGGAUUUUUAAUGACUGUAUCGGCACCCGAAGAGAAAUCUUUAAAUGAGGUUCGGGGGGGAGUAUGGUCGCAAGGCUGAAACUUAAAGGAA
rnacentral:rRNA from 1 species